ACGAACGCUGGCGGCGUGCUUAACACAUGCAAGUCGAACGGAAAGGCCCUGCUUUUGUGGGGUUCUCGAGUGGCGAACGGGUGAGUAACACGUGAGUAACCUGCCCUUGACUUUGGGAUAACUUCAGGAAACUGGGGCUAAUACCGGAUAGGAGCUCCUGCUGCAUGGUGGGGGUUGGAAAGUUUCGGCGGUUGGGGAUGGACUCGCGGCUUAUCAGCUUGUUGGUUGGGUAGUGGCUUACCAAGGCUUUGACGGGUAGCCGGCCUGAGAGGGUGACCGGCCACAUUGGGACUGAGAUACGGCCCAGACUCCUACGGGAGGCAGCAGUGGGGAAUAUUGCACAAUGGGCGGAAGCCUGAUGCAGCAACGCCGCGUGCGGGAUGACGGCCUUCGGGUUGUAAACCGCUUUCGCCUGUGACGAAGCGUGAGUGACGGUAAUGGGUAAAGAAGCACCGGCUAACUACGUG
rnacentral:rRNA from 1 species